rnacentral:rRNA from 1 species
CAGGCCUAACACAUGCAAGUCGAACGAUGCUUUCGGGCAUAGUGGCGCACGGGUGAGUAACACGUGGGAACGUACCCUUCGGUUCGGAAUAACGCUGGGAAACUAGCGCUAAUACCGGAUACGCCCUUUUGGGGAAAGGUUUACUGCCGAAGGAUCGGCCCGCGUCUGAUUAGCUAGUUGGUGGGGUAACGGCCUACCAAGGCGACGAUCAGUAGCUGGUCUGAGAGGAUGAUCAGCCACACUGGGACUGAGACACGGCCCAGACUCCUACGGGAGGCAGCAGUGGGGAAUAUUGGACAAUGGGCGCAAGCCUGAUCCAGCCAUGCCGCGUGAGUGAUGAAGGCCUUAGGGUUGUAAAGCUCUUUUGUCCGGGACGAUAAUGACGGUACCGGAAGAAUAAGCCCCGGCUAACUUCGUGCCAGCAGCCGCGGUAAU